UUGAACGCUGGCGGCAGGCCUAACACAUGCAAGUCGAACGGUAACAGGAAGCAGCUUGCUGCUUCGCUGACGAGUGGCGGACGGGUGAGUAAUGUCUGGGAAGCUGCCUGAUGGAGGGGGAUAACUACUGGAAACGGUAGCUAAUACCGCAUAAUGUCGCAAGACCAAAGAGGGGGACCUUCGGGCCUCUUGCCAUCGGAUGUGACCAGAUGGGAUUAGCUUGUUGGUGGGGUAACGGCUCACCAAGGCGACGAUCCCUAGCUGGUCUGAGAGGAUGACCAUCCACACUGGAACUGAGACACGGUCCAGACUCCUACGGGAGGCAGCAGUGGGGAAUAUUGCACAAUGGGCGCAAGCCUGAUGCAGCCAUGCCGCGUGUAUGAAGAAGGCCUUCGGGUUGUAAAGUACUUUCAGCGGGGAGGAAGGGAGUAAAGUUAAUACCUUUGCUCAUUGACGUUACCCGCAGAAGAAGCACCGGCUAACUCCGUG
rnacentral:rRNA from 1 species